GAGUUUGAUCCUGGCUCAGAUUGAACGCUGGCGGCAUGCCUUACACAUGCAAGUCGAACGGCAGCACGGGAGCUUGCUCCUGGUGGCGAGUGGCGAACGGGUGAGUAAUGCAUCGGAACGUAUCCUGGAGUGGGGGAUAACGUAGCGAAAGUUACGCUAAUACCGCAUAUUCUGUGAGCAGGAAAGCGGGGGACCUUCGGGCCUCGCGCUCUUGGAGCGGCCGAUGUCGGAUUAGCUAGUUGGUGAGGUAAAGGCUCACCAAGGCGACGAUCCGUAGCAGGUCUGAGAGGAUGAUCU
rnacentral:rRNA from 2 species